AUUGAACGCUGGCGGCAUGCCUUACACAUGCAAGUCGAACGGUAACAGGUCUUCGGAUGCUGACGAGUGGCGAACGGGUGAGUAAUACAUCGGAACGUGCCUAGUAGUGGGGGAUAACUACUCGAAAGAGUGGCUAAUACCGCAUGAGAUCUACGGAUGAAAGCAGGGGAUCGCAAGACCUUGUGCUACUAGAGCGGCCGAUGGCAGAUUAGGUAGUUGGUGGGAUAAAAGCUUACCAAGCCGACGAUCUGUAGCUGGUCUGAGAGGACGAUCAGCCACACUGGGACUGAGACACGGCCCAGACUCCUACGGGAGGCAGCAGUGGGGAAUUUUGGACAAUGGGCGCAAGCCUGAUCCAGCAAUGCCGCGUGCAGGAUGAAGGCCUUCGGGUUGUAAACUGCUUUUGUACGGAACGAAAAGCCCCGGGUUAAUACCCUGGGGUCAUGACGGUACCGUAAGAAUAAGUACCGGCUAAUUACGUGCCAGCAGCCGCUGUAA
rnacentral:rRNA from 1 species